CAUCAUGGCGUCUGCCAUGAGCUCCUCUGUUCUCAGAGUGGACACAAUCGGCUCGGCUUUUUUCCAUUGUACUGCCAAAAUUCACCGAUUUCGAGCGCCAAAGGGAGCUUUUCAGAGGGAAUGCAGAGGACUUAGGUGUUUCUGCAGGGAGGACUUCUCCAGCUGCUUUGCUGAUUCCUACACAAAAGCCCAGCUCCCAUGGCAGAGGUCCUCCGAGGGGAAAGAACAAAGCUACAGGACACCAGAAACACCAUGAGCCAUCCAAAAACAUGAGGCAAAUGCUGAAAGAAUUGCUGCAGGGAGGACAAG